rnacentral:rRNA from 1 species
AGUGAACGCUGGCGGUAGGCCUAACACAUGCAAGUCGAACGGCAGCACAGUAAGAGCUUGCUCUUACGGGUGGCGAGUGGCGGACGGGUGAGGAAUACAUCGGAAUCUACUUUUUCGUGGGGGAUAACGUAGGGAAACUUACGCUAAUACCGCAUACGACCUACGGGUGAAAGCAGGGGAUCUUCGGACCUUGCGCGAUUGAAUGAGCCGAUGUCGGAUUAGCUAGUUGGCGGGGUAAAGGCCCACCAAGGCGACGAUCCGUAGCUGGUCUGAGAGGAUGAUCAGCAAAACUGGAACUGAGAAACGGGCCAGACUCCGACGGGAGGCAGAAGUGGGGAAUAUUGGAAAAUGGGCGAAAGACUGAUCCAGACAUACCGCGUGGGUGAAGAAGGCCUUCGGGUUGUAAAGCCCUUUUGUUGGGAAAGAAAAGCAGCAGGUUAAUACCCCGCUGUUCUGACGGUACCCAAAGAAUAAGCACCGGCUAACUUCGU